CUUAUCCCUCCCAAAAACACAGAGCCCAUCUUCUCUCCCAACUCGCGACCCACUUAGAAACCUCACCGUCAUCGUAUUCACCUUUUUUCCCACCACCUCACAGUCAAGCUCAAUUGGUCUUUCAUGCAUGUUUUUUAUCCCCAUCCCCGAGAACCCUAAAUCCCUCAUUUCCUGUUAUUUCUUUCUCAAUCCAGCAAGAGCCCUAAACUUUUUCUCCCAAUACCACUUCCAUCUCAACAACUUUCUCUUUAUUUCAGUAAACACAACAUAUAGCAUCCUAUCGCACACCCCUUUAAAGUUAUGCCGCCACACUAAUUGAUGAUAAGAAAACUACAUUGUCUAUAGUGGAAAGAUUAGAGUUUGAUUGGAACGUAAAGGGGAGACUUGGUGGGUCGAGAUUUAGGGUAUUUAUUAAUUAAAUUGGGGGUUUUGGUUUUGCCGGUAAGAAGUGUGAUUCUGUUGAUGGAUCAGGUUCAGUUUGGAUGGAAAACAUAAUGAAGCUUAUAUAAUACUUUAGCUUGAACCGUGUAAUUUAGUUGGGAAGAUGUAUGUACUCAUCUAAAGCUUGUACAAUAUAUUAAGGAUACCUAGAAGUGUGAGAUAGCUGCAAUUGAAUAUGCUGAUUGAAGCUUAUGGUGGGAAGCAUUUGAUUUCUGCCUUCUAAUUUGCCAGCUUCGGUGACUCAUCUAAAUCCAAUUCAACUCAAUGUGGUAAUUCCAAAGAUUUGGAAUCUCAGUAUCAACAUCAAGGUGGCAUAGUUAGUGAAGGGAAUGCCUAAGGCAUGCUUCAAUGAGCAUACUACGACCAUAUUUUCACUGUUAAGUGUUUGUUUUUAUCUAUUGAGAUGAUUUAUUUUUUGUUGAGUUAUAUUAAAACAACCUUAAAUUUUGGUAGCAUAUAAACCAAGCUAGUUAGUUAUUGGCAUUUGGCAACAUGUGUUUAAUUUGUAUAGCUUUAUAAAGAUAUUUGUUUCCAAUUAUUAAGUUAUAUAUGUAAUUUUAUUCUCAAUAAAACAAACUCAUGUAGUUUUACUCUUUAAUGUCAAAUGAUAUCAUUUCAAUACUUGUUAAUGGUAUUAGAGUUGCAUUUGAUUGUUAGAUUAUUUUAUAAUGAAGUUGUUGAUUGAUUUAUGUAAUGUUUUUUAUUUAUAAUGAAGUUCUUGAAAAGAAAACUAUUAUUU